rnacentral:rRNA from 1 species
UACGGAGGGCGCAAGCGUUGCUCGGAAUUACUGGGCGUAAAGCGCGUGCAGGCGGUCGAGUAAGUCGGUUGUGAAAUCCCCAGGCUCAACCUGGGAACUGCAUCCGAAACUGCUCGGCUAGAGUCCCGGAGAGGGAGGCGGAACUCCCAGUGUAGGGGUGAAAUCCGUAGAUAUUGGGAAGAACACCGGCGGCGAAAGCGGCCUCCUGGACGGUGACUGACGAUGAGACGCGAAAGCGUGGGGAGCAAACAGG